rnacentral:lncRNA from 1 species
GUGUAUUCAACUGUUGAUGGAUGGAAUGUCCGAUGGUGUUUGCAGCAUUGGCUCUGAUGAAAUUCAAAGAGAGGAUAGAGAGAGACCCAUUUGGAGCUUUGAUGGAUUGGGGAGAGCUUCCUCAUUGUUCUUGGUCUGGUGUUGUCUGUUCACAUGAUGGAAGAGUUGUCAUCUUGUAAGUCAGCCAAAUCCUUAAUAAGAAGUACUCUUCUUUCUCAGCUCUACAAUUUGAUAUCUUAUUUGUGUAAUUGGGUAAAUACCGUAGAAAUCUAAGAGAUCUCUCCCUCCAAGGAACACUUGCACCUGAACUCGGAAACCUUACUCACUUGAAAUCUCUGUAAGUAAAACCGUUUUUCCCAACACUCCCUCAAAACUACACAUACAUCUACAACUACUUGUUCUUGUGGGGGUUUUGCAGUAUUCUGAGAAACAAUUCAUUUUCCGGGAAAGUACCUGAAGAGGUAACAGAAUUGCAGGAGCUUGAGAUCUUGGAUUUGUGUGACAACAACUUUGGAGAACCAUUUCCUUUCGGUCGCAGGCUACUUCAGAUAACUCCCCCUGGCCAGAAUCCAGGCGUCAGAGAAGCUCCCCCUCCUCCUCCGUUACCUUCUCCUCCUCCUUCAUCGCCUACAGAGAAUAUCUCCACAGAUGUAUUUUUCCCUCCUCCUCCUCCACAGAUUAAAAGUAAAAGUCCUCCCACUGGUUCCCAAGCCGAGAUCCCUCCAGCUCAGCCUCCUCCAGCUCAGCUUCCUCCAGCUCCAUUUCUGCCUCGUGCUCUCAAGAAAAAGGUAUCUCAGAAGAUUUUCAUAAUAGUUGGAGUGCUAGUAGUUGUAUUAGGUUUCAUGGCCGCAUUGGUGGCCUUCUUUGUUCUCCGAAAGCAAAAGGUAGUAAUGAUAAAGCCAUGGACGACUAAGAGCAGUGGCCAGCUUCAAGAUGUUAUUAUCACAGGUAUCACUGUUUUCUUCGCUCACUGCGUUAUGUUUAGUCUAUAUUCAGUAACAUAGUAGAUUGGUGAGUGAGUUUACUGUACGUAUGAAGGUGUUCCCAAGCUAAAGCUGUCGGAACUAGAGACUGCCUGCGAAGAUUUCAGUAACAUCAUAGGCUCCACAUCCUCAGACGCAACCAUUUACAAAGGAACUCUCUCCACCGGCUCUGAGAUUGCCGUUUUAUC